GGGGGUUUAGCUCAGCUGGGAGAGCAUCUGCCUUACAAGCAGAGGGUCAGCGGUUCGAACCCGUUAGCCCCCA
rnacentral:tRNA from 1 species